rnacentral:rRNA from 1 species
GAUGAACGCUAGCUACAGGCUUAACACAUGCAAGUCGCGGGGUAACAUCUGGUAGAGCUUGCUCUUCCAGGAUGACGACCGGCGCACGGGUGAGUAACGCGUAUCCAACCUGGCCCAUACCACGGGAUAGCCCGUCGAAAGGCGGAUUAAUACCGUAUGCUGUCAUUAAGAUGCAUAUAUUGAUGACGAAAGGACUGGCGGUAUGGGAUGGGGAUGCGUCUGAUUAGCUUGUUGGCGGGGUAACGGCCCACCAAGGCGACGAUCAGUAGGGGUUCUGAGAGGAAGGUCCCCCACAUUGGAACUGAGACACGGUCCAAACUCCUACGGGAGGCAGCAGUGAGGAAUAUUGGUCAAUGGGGCGCAAGUCUGAACCAGCCAAGUAGCGUGAGGGAAGACUGCCCUACGGGUUGUAAACCUCUUUUGUUUGGGAAUAAAGUGCGGGACGCGUCCCGCACUUGCAUGUACCA